rnacentral:rRNA from 1 species
AAUAUUUGAAAAUGGGGGCAACCCUGAUCCAGCCAUGCCGCGUGUGUGAAGAAGGACAUAGGAUUGUCCAGCACUUUAAGUUGAGAGGAAGGGCACUACACUAAUACCUUGCUGUUUUGACGUUACCGACAGAUUAAGCACCGGCUAACUCUGUGCCAGUAGCCGCGGUAAUACAGAGGGUGCAAGCGUUAAUCGGAAUUACUGGGCGUAAAGCGCGCGUAGGUGGUUCAGUAAGAUGGGUGUGAAAUCCCCGGGCUUAACCUGGGAACUGCUUUCAUAACUGCUGAGCUAGAGUACGGUAGAGGGUAGUGGAAUUUCCUGUGUAGCGGUGAAAUGCGUAGAUAUAGGAAGGAACACCAGUGGCGAAGGCGACCACCUGGGCUAAUACUGACACUGAGGUGCGAAAGCGUGGGGAGCAAAC